GCUAGCAACAGAGGACCCGGUGACAAAUGGUGAAAAAGACAAUUGCAUAAAGGAACUUCAUUCAGACAUUUCGCCUGUGGACAAGCUCCUUCAGACAAUGAAGACUGAAGAAGCCCGUGCAUGGGCAAAAUGUCUUGAAGUUCAUUUCUGCAACUGUGUCUUUUAACCAGGGUCUUCUAUUCCACUUACAUCAGAUUCGCUUAGGGUGAAUACUAGGUCCAUCCUUGCUGGUUCAUCAUCAUCUCUUUCACUUCUCUCUCUCUGGUUGUGUCCUUGACAUGUUGGUACCAACCCUGUUUUUCUAACUCCAUGUUUCCAGUCCCCCAUGUGGAUCCCAAUUUUCCCAGUCUACUUCAUGGGGCCUCACCUACCUGCUCCUGGUGUGGUAUCCACUACCUCUGGUCCUCUAAGUGUGCCUAUUAUUUGAUUAUUAUAUCAGUGAUAUACAAUACAGACAAGUUGACCAAUUAAUUUAACGAUAUUGUAUACCACUGAUAUAAUGAUACUUGUUACAGUAAAUUCAUCAACUCUUAUGUAAUCAUUUUACUCCAGAUCCCUGUUUAUUCCUCUCCUCCUCAAAACUCCAGUGGAGGAGGAGGGGGUGAGCCUGUGUGAGUGUAAGUAUACACACAGGGAUCGAUUCCAAGCUCCAGGCUCCGCCCCUCAACUUGUAUGCCAGAUUCACAACCUGCUAGCACUGCACGUACACGCGUGAGCGUGCCCAUGUGUGUAUGUGCGUGCGCAUGUGCGUACGUGCGUGCGCAUGUGUAUACGUGCGUGCGCAUGUGUGUACGUGUAUGCGCAUGUGUGCUGUGUAUGUCAACAUCCGCCAUGGACACUUGGCUUCAGUCUUAUCAGUGAUGAUACGCGAGUCGUCCAUGGAUAAACAUGAGUUCUUCACGAAGAGUCUGCCUAAACAAUCUCAAUGCAUUUUGCUACAUUUGUGGCGGAUACUCUUUGCAAAAACAGAGAAAAAAAUCACAGAUUUUGUACAACAAGCUUAUCUUGUUUAUUUUGGAGUGGCGUUUGGAGAACAAGACAAGUCUUGGGCUCCCUUUAUGGUUUGCAAAAACCUGUGUAGAACGCUUACCACAGUGGAAAAAUAGACAAAGGAAAAGUUUAAACUUGGGUGUGCCUAUGGUGUGGAAAGAGCCGAAAAGCCAUCACUACGGUUGUUAUUUCUGUAUGGUGAAUGUGAAAGGUUUCAGUUGAUACAAGAAUGUGAAGUGGGAAUGUCCUGAUUUUGAGUCAGCAAGGAGACCUGUGCUACACAGCAAAGACAUUCCCAUAACAGUGUUACAACACUGCCUGACUUUCUGUUGUCAGAUGUUGAAGAAACUCGGAGUUUAGGAUUUAACACAGGUGAUAGUAGUGAAAGUGAAUAUGAAGUAAGCACUUUAUCAUCCCAGAAGUUCUCCCAACAAGAACUCGGUUAUUUGAUACGUGACCUCAGUCUGUCAAAGCAAGCAUCUCAACUUUUAGUAUCGAGAUUAAAAGAAAAGAACUGUCUACAACAAGAAGCUGAAAUAACAGCUUAUCGGACAAGAGAGGUUGAACUCCUUCCUUACGUCAGUCAAGAUGAAGAACUUGUAUACUGCAGUAACAUCCCUGGACUACUUCUUUGAAAUAGACUUCAAUAUCGACCGGGAGAUUGAUGGCUAUUUAUAGACAACUCCAUUAGAAACUUGAAAUGUGUCUUAUUGCACAAUGGUAACCAAUAUGCAUCUCUUUCAACUGCUCACUCAACAAAACUGUUCUGAUGACCCACAUAGAAGAAAGUCGUACAAAGAACGUUUUCAUUACAGUAAUUAGUGGUAUCUGAAUUAUCUUACUUUGUUAAUCUGUUAUUAUAUAGAAAGAAAUGCUAGUAUGCAUUACAUGAUUUGACUUUUGAUGAUCUAAAAAAUAAUUUCAAUGAGAUUUAUAGAUAAGCUCCGCCUGAUCAAUAUAUUUUUCACAUCUU